GUUAGUAGAAGGGAGUCAAAUCCAGAGCAGAAAGUUUGCAUUUUUCAAGAGCUAUACAAAAGGCAAUAAGGGGUGCUCAGAGAUAAUUGUUUACCCUCCUUAGAGAUAGUUGCUGAGAGGGAAAUUCUCCUCUAAAACAAAACAUGAUCUAUCAGAUGAGGAAACAUUGUUACAUUGCUCCAUGGUCCAGUUCUGAUGCUCACGUCCCCAUUGAAGGCGGUCUACAG